UGACAAGAUAUCAUUGACGUGAUGUGUAAAUGAGCAAUAGAAAACUUAUCACAUAACUGUAACGCUGGCUCAAGAAUUGGAAUAGAGAUCCAGGUUUUGCACACAGCCAGAAGGUUUAUUUGUAGUACUGGCACGUAGCAAGAAAAGGGGCAGAGCAAGGAGAAUGGUCGAGGGGCAGAAGCAGGUGUCCGAAGCCGAGAGAUCCGUCCAGGGAAUAAACACGGGACACGACAACAUGGGGAAAGGGAAACAGGAGGAGCCGGUCUCAGCAGGGCAGGAGGUUUAGGUUCAGGAACGGGUCUGGGAAGAGGAAGAGGAACAGACAAGAUAAAAGCUAUGGAUCUUGGAUUGAGGCAGCCUGAUUCACUGAUCCACUGGCCCUCCUGUAAUCAUCUGAGAUUACUCCUCAUGUCCAUGUACUGAAUGCACCAUGUUUUUUUUUACAUUUUUAAUAAUAUUCUGUUUCUAAUCCAUUGUAAUCCAUCCAUCCAUUUCCUGAAACUGCUCAAUCCUAACUGGUGUUGAGAGGGGGACUUGAGGUAUAUCCUGGGAACCAACCCUGGGCAGUUUCCAACACAUCGCAGGGUGCACACACUCACACAACAACAGGGCCAAUUUAGACUCACCAAUCAACCUAUCCUGCACACUUUUGGACUGUGGGAGGAAACUGGAGCCCCUGGUGAAAAUCCACGUGAACAUGGGGAGAGUGUGCAAACUCCACACAGAGAAGACCCGGGACCGAACCCAAGACCUUCUCGCUGGGAGACAUUAGCUAACCACUGUGCCACCGCACCGCCCCACCCUCAUUAUAAUCCAUUACUGUAAAAAAAAUAUUCUUGUUGAUGUAAUAGGCCUUUAUAAGAAGUAAACUUCUGACUAUGCCAAAGGGAGAGAAGGUACUGUUUCUGGUCUUACAGUAUAAUGAUUGUGUGUGUGUGUGUGAGAGAGAGAGUUGUCAGUGUAACUUUUUUAUGUAUUAAAUUUUCUCUUAAAGCGACACAGAGCAGCACGGGGAGACAUGGUAAGCGUGUCAGUGAGAGUGUCUUUCUCUGUUUAUCCUCCUGUGAUGUUUCACAGUUAAUGUAUGACAAUAAACUUUUUGAAUCCUUUGAAAUGCUAGUGCCCUUCCAGCAGUUUCUCUCCUGUAGCAUCUACCAGGACAGGAGGGACCCCGGGGAGAUCUAACCCCUGGUAUAAAGGGGUCUCCUGGUGAGAAGGUCAGUAUGAUAAAAACUCCCUGGGAGUGCAGCAACACUCUUUGAAUUACUCUCUGCUGAUUCACUCCAGAGAGUGUAACAGGUCAUUAAGGUUACACUACCUAGAAAUCAGACAUUGCCAACAGCUAUUUACAUUUGGUCAGCCUCGCUCAUUGGAAUAUUUAAUAUUUGUAUGUUAUUCAAAAGCCCUUCCCACAUCAUGAGUUACCACCAAGUAAGCCAUUUGGGGGAGACAAAGAGCCAAAAUCUCAAUGCUGAGAAAAUUUGGUGUAUUUCACUGUAUUGCAGGGGUCAAUGUUGCCUCACAAAUGUACAUGCAUGUAAACAGCCCUUUGUAAAAAAUUCAGUUCAAUUGAAUUUUAUUUGUAUAGCCCAUUUUCAUAACAUUAUAUUUUGUCAAAGUGCUUUACGUUAUACGUUUAACGAUUGUUAAAAUUCAGUGUGAUUCGGAAGUUCCAGUGGAAUUACAGAUGCUGAUGUUGGGGCAGAAAGGUGAUGAUGCAAGUCCUGAUGAGCGAUGGGCGUACAGGCAGGAGAAAUGCAACAGUUCACAUCCUACCUGACAUGAAAGGAGCCAAAGGUGCAAAUGGGAUCUCGGCGACAUGCAGUUGCAGUUUCAUGAGGCCGUUUAACCACAAUGAGGUUCCAUCUGUGUUCAACCCGACCAAAUGUGGAUACCUGCUCAAAGGGUAAAGAUCAAAGAUCAGCCAGCUGCCCAAUCACCCAGUAGACAAGCAGGUAUCUGUUUGAAAGGCCAUAGUCACCUAUGCUGCACAAGCCUUCUGUGGUCUGUGGAAGAAUGUCCUUUUGGUGCAUGCAUCAGCUCAGCUCAGGUGACCCAUUAACCUUAAAAGAAUGAUUAUGGAGCCAUUUUCAAAAAUAGAUAAGAGUUAGUACAGAUUGAAAAUGUGUCUUCAGCCUCCGAAGUGCCCCAGUGCUCAUCUUGGACUGCUUAUGAUGGCUGACAGGGGUGGGGUUGGUCAUAAGUGUUUCAGAGCCCUUACAUACUCCUGGAUCUAGAAAAAUGACACUGUCCUGACAAACAGAUGCAUGCAAGUAACCAUCAAACGUGGAAGCAGGGAGUGACAUUCGGAACUGCACUGUGAGGCCGACAUGAGUCAUUAAAAAUAAUCCUGCUGUUUUCUCCCGUUAAAGCAUGUAUACAAAAAUGUGACUGUAUCUACAGCAGUUGACAGUAAACUGUAUGGUUCCCAUACUGGCUCUGCUGGGGGGAAUGCUGUUGCUUUCAGUCUAAAAUCGCAUGCAAACAUGCCGCAAAUAA